rnacentral:rRNA from 1 species
CCUAACACAUGCAAGUCUAACGGUAACAGGAAGAAGCUUGCUUCUUUGCUGACGAGUGGCGGACGGGUGAGUAAUGUCUGGGAGACUGCCUGAUGGAGGGGGAUAACUACUGGAAACGGUAGCUAAUACCGCAUAACGUCGCAAGACCAAAGAGGGGGACCUUCGGGCCUCUUGCCAUCGGAUGUGCCCAGAUGGGAUUAGCUAGUAGGUGGGGUAAUGGCUCACCUAGGCGACGAUCCCUAGCUGGUCUGAGAGGAUGACCAGCCACACUGGAACUGAGACACGGUCCAGACUCCUACGGGAGGCAGCAGUGG